rfam:Gossypium hirsutum cultivar TM-1 chromosome 20, whole genome shotgun sequence
AACCCGUGCAUCAAACAUUUUUGAAUUAAAUCUUUAAAUCAUUCCCAAGCUUUAUAUAGUGUUUCAUCCUCCAAUUACCAAAAAUGUGUGAUGUUAUUUCUAAGCUU